rnacentral:rRNA from 1 species
CGGUACGAGAUGAGCCCGCGGCCUAUCAGCUUGUUGGUGGGGUAAUGGCCUACCAAGGCGUCGACGGGUAGCCGGCCUGAGAGGGUGGACGGCCACAUUGGGACUGAGAUACGGCCCAGACUCCUACGGGAGGCAGCAGUGGGGAAUAUUGCACAAUGGGCGCAAGCCUGAUGCAGCGACGCCGCGUGAGGGAUGACGGCCUUCGGGUUGUAAACCUCUUUCGACAGGGACGAAGCUUUUUGUGACGGUACCUGUAUAAGAAGCACCGGCUAACUACGUGCCAGCAGCCGCGGUAAUACGUAGGGUGCGAGCGUUGUCCGGAAUUACUGGGCGUAAAGAGCUCGUAGGUGGUUUGUCGCGUCGUCUGUGAAAUUCCGGGGCUUAACUCCGGGCGUGCAGGCGAUACGGGCAUAACUUGAGUGCUGUAGGGGAGACUGGAAUUCCUGGUGUAGCGGUGGAAUGCGCAGAUAUCAGGAGGAACACCGAUGGCGAAGGCAGGUCUCUGGGCAGUAACUGACGCUGAGGAGCGAAAGCAUGGGGAGCGAACAGGAUUAGAUACCCUGGUAGUCCAUGCCGUAAACGGUGGGCGCUAGGUGUGAGGGUCUUCCACGACUUUCGUGCCGUAGCUAACGCAUUAAGCGCCCCGCCUGGGGAGUACGGCCGCAAGGCUAAAACUCAAAGGAAUUGACGGGGGCCCGCACAAGCGGCGGAGCAUGU